CAUGCCCCUUAUACGCUGGGCUACACACGUGCUACAAUGGGUAGAACAGAGAGUUGCAAAGCCGUGAGGUGAAGCUAAUCUCAGAAAACUAUUCUUAGUUCGGAUUGUACUCUGCAACUCGAGUACAUGAAGUUGGAAUCGCUAGUAAUCGCGAAUCAGCAAUGUCGCGGUGAAUACGUUCUCGGGUCUUGUACACACCGCCCGUCACACCACGAGAGUUGGUUGCACCUGAAGUAGCAGGCCUAACCGUAAGGAGGGAUGCUCCGAGGGUGUGAUUAGCGAUUGGGGUGAAGUCGUAACAAGGUAUCCGUACGGGAACGUGCGGAUGGAUCACCUCCUUUCUAAGGAGACAAAGUCUUUCUCUAUUCUAUUGGUAAUGUUCUUUACAUUACUUCUGAACAUUGGAAACUAUAUAGUAGAACAAACAAGAAAAAAAUUAACUCUAACAAUUUCUUAGAGUUAGCUGUCAAAAAAUAGAUUAAAAUAAUUAAGGGCACACAAAGGAUGCCUAGGUAGUAAGAGCCGAUGAAGGACGUGGUAAGCUGCGAUAAGCCUAG
rnacentral:sRNA from 1 species